ensembl:snRNA U6 U6 spliceosomal RNA
GAGCUCACUUUGGCAGCACAUCCCCAAAUCGAACGAUACAAAAAAAUCAGGAUGGUCCCUGCGCAAGGAUGACAUGCAAAUUUGUGAAGCAUUCCAUACUUUU